UACGUAGGUGGCAAGCGUUGUCCGGAUUUAUUGGGCGUAAAGAGCGUGUAGGCGGCCAGACAGGUCCGUUGUGAAAACUAGGAGGCUAACCUCUAGACGUCGAUGGAAACCGUCUGGCUAGAGUCCGGAAGAGGAGAAUGGAAUUCCUGGUGUAGCGGUGAAAUGCGCAGAUAUCAGGAAGAACACCCGUGGCUAAGGCGGUUCUCUAGUACGGUACUGACGCUGAGACGCGAAAGCGUGGGGAGCGAACAGG
rnacentral:rRNA from 1 species